GAUGAACGCUGGCGGCGUGCCUAAUACAUGCAAGUCGAGCGAACGGACGAGAAGCUUGCUUCUCUGAUGUUAGCGGCGGACGGGUGAGUAACACGUGGAUACCUACCUAUAAGACUGGGAUAACUUCGGGAAACCGUAGCUAAUACCGGAUAAUAUUUUGAACCGCAUGGUUCAAAAGUGAAAGACGGUCUUGCUGUCACUUAUAGAUGGAUCCGCGCUGCAUUAGCUAGUUGGUAAGGUAACGGCUUACCAAGGCAACGAUGCAUAGCCGACCUGAGAGGGUGAUCGGCCACACUGGAACUGAGACACGGUCCAGACUCCUACGGGAGGCAGCAGUAGGGAAUCUUCCGCAAUGGGCGAAAGCCUGACGGAGCAACGCCGCGUGAGUGAUGAAGGUCUUCGGAUCGUAAAACUCCGUUAUUAGGGAAGAACAUAUGUGUAAGUAACUGUGCACAUCUUGACGGUACCUAAUCAGAAAGCCACGGCUAACUACGUG
rnacentral:rRNA from 1 species